CCCACUCCCGGCACGGGGAGGUAGUGACGAAAAAUAACGAUACGGGACUCAUCCGAGGCCCCGUAAUCGGAAUGAGUACACUUUAAAUCCUUUAACAAGGAUCCAUUGGAGGGCAAGCCUGGUGCCAGCAGCCGCGGUAAUUCCAGCUCCAAUAGCGUAUAUUAAAGUUGUUGCGGUUAAAAAGCUCGUAGUUGAAUCUGUGUCCCACACUGUCGGUUCACCGCUCGCGGUGUUCAACUGGCAUGUCUGUGGGACGUCCUACCGGUGGGCGCAGCCCGUCAAAAGGCGGCCCAACUCAAAAUCCUACCACGGUGCUCUUCACCGAGUGUCGAGGUGGGCCGGUACGUUUACUUUGAACAAAUUAGAGUGCUUAAAGCAGGCUCAUUCGCCUGAAUAUUCUGUGCAUGGAAUAAUGGAAUAGGACCUCGGUUCUAUUUUGUUGGUUUUCGGAACUCCGAGGUAAUGAUUAAUAGGGACAACUGGGGGCAUUCGUAUUGCGACGUUAGAGGUGAAAUUCUUGGAUCGUCGCAGGACGGACUGAAGCGAAAGAAAUGUGUUUUCAUCAAUCAAGAACGAAAGUUAGAGGUCCGAAGGCGAUCAGAUACCGCCCUAGUUCUAACCAUAAACGAUGCCAGCUAGCGAUCCGCCGAAGUUCCUCCGAUGACUCGGCGGGCAGCUUCCGGGAAACCAAAGCUUUUGGGUUCCGGGGGAAGUAUGGUUGCAAAGCUGAAACUUAAAGGAAUUGACGGAAGGGCACCACCAGGAGUGGGGCCUGCGGCUCAAUUUGACUCAACACGGGAAACCUCACCAGGCCCGGACACCGGAAGGAUUGACAGAUUGAGAGCUCUUUCUUGAUUCGGUGGGUGGUGGUGCAUGGCCGUUCUUAGUUGGUGGAGCGAUUUGUCAGGUUAAUUCCGAUAACGAACGAGACUCUAGCCUGCUAAAUAGGCGUACUUUCCGGUAUCUCGAAGGCCCGCCGGUCGGCUUCGGUCCGUGUGUGGUUUUUACUACCGGCGUACACAUAUAUCUUCUUAGAGGGACAGGUGGCUUUUAGUCGCACGAGAUUGAGCAAUAACAGGUCAGGAAUGCCCUUAGAUGUUCUGGGCCGCACGCGCGCCACACUGAAGGGAUCAGCAGGUUUUCCUUGGCCGAAAGGUCCGGGUAAUCCGUUGAAGCCCCUUCGUGCUAGGGAUUGGGGCUUGCAAUUCUUCCCCAUGAACGAGGAAUUCCCAGUAAGCGCGAGUCAUAAGCUUGCGUUGAUUACGUCCCUGCCCUUUGUACACACCGCCCGUCGCUACUACCGAUUGAAUGAUUUAAUGAGGUCUUCGGACUGGUGCGCGGCAUUGCCGAUGUUGCUGGGAAGAUGACCAAAUUUGAU
rnacentral:rRNA from 1 species